rnacentral:tRNA from 1 species
GAGAUGUUAGUAAAGCCAUUACACUGCCUUGUCAAGGCAGAAUCACAGGUUAAACCCCUGCACAUCUUG